rnacentral:rRNA from 1 species
AACGUCUAACACACAUCGUUUACGGCAUGACUACGAGGGGUAUCUAAUCCUCUUCGCUACCCAUGCUUUCGUUCCUCAGUGUCAGUAAUGAUCCAGAAAGCUGCCUUCGCAAUUGAUAUUCUUUCUAAUAUCUACGAAUUUCACCUCUACACUAGAAAUUCUGCUUUCCUCUAUCAUACUCUAGCUGAAAAGUUUUGAUGGCAGUUCCAGAGUUAAGCUCUGGGAUUUCACCACCAACUUUUUCAACCACCUACGAACUCUUUAAGCCCAGUAAUUCCGAACUACGCUAGGUCCCUUCGUAUUACCGCGGCUGCUGGCAAGAAGUUAGCCGGACCUUCUUAUUCGGGUACAGUCAUUUUCUUCCCCGACGAAAGAGCUUUACAACCCAAAGGCCUUCUUCACUCACGCGGCAUCGCUGCAUCAGAGUUUCCUCCAUUGUGCAAGAUUCCCCACUGCUGCCUCCCGUAGGAGUUGGGGCCGUGUCUCAGUCCCAAUGUGGCUGAUCAUCCUCUCAAAUCAGCUAUUGAUCAUAGUCUUGGUAGGGCCAUUACCCUACCAACAAACUAAUCAAGUGCGGGGCUCAUCCAAGGGUGCAUAAAGCUUUCUCCGUAAAGACUUAUCCGGUAUUAGGCACAAGUUUCCUCGUGUUAUUCCGGGCCAAAGGGUGGAUACCCACAUGUUACUCACCCGUCGGCCACUAAGGUAUGGCUACUUGGUUGGACUGGCAGGUGUUGGGGGUGCCGCCAGGGUACGUUCGGAGCCAGGAUCAAACUCU